rnacentral:lncRNA from 1 species
GCUUAGUGGGUCGGGCUUUUACAUUCUACCCCCCUUAAAAAAAAUUUCGUCCUCGAAAUUUAACAUACCUUCAUUUUCAAAUAAGUGUGGAUAUUUCGUCUUCAUAUCGUCUUCAAGCUCCCAAGUAGCCUCUCUCUCUUCAUGAUUACUCCAAUGAAUCUUUACGUAUGGAAUGGUAUGCCGUCUUAGAACUUGCUCUUUUCGGUCAAUAAUUCGCAGAGAAAAUUCUUCAUAGGUUAGAUCUUCAUGAACUUGCAAUGGCUCAUACUUUAUCACACUGUUUGGAUCAGAUACAAACUUCCUCAGUAGUGAAACAUGAAAGACAUUGUGCACUUUGGAUAAAUCUGGUGGUAAGGCUAGUUCGUAUGCAACAUCUCCUUCUCGAU